UGGUAUCAGCAAAGUGUUAUUU
rnacentral:miRNA from 1 species